UGGGGAAUAUUGCACAAUGGGGGAAACCCUGAUGCAGCGACGCCGCGUGAGCGAAGAAGUAUUUCGGUAUGUAAAGCUCUAUCAGCAGGGAAGAAAAUGACGGUACCUGACUAAGAAGCCCCGGCUAACUACGUGCCAGCAGCUGCGGUAAUACGUAGGGGGCAAGCGUUAUCCGGAUUUAUUGGGUGUAAAGGGUGCGUAGACGGGCAUGCAAGUUGGUUGUGAAAUCCCUCGGCUUAACUGAGGAACUGCAACCAAAACUGUGUGUCUUGAGUGCAGGAGAGGUAAGUGGAAUUCCUAGUGUAGCGGUGAAAUGCGUAGAUAUUAGGAGAAACACCAGUGGCGAAGGCGACUUACUGGACUGUAACUGACGUUGAGGCACGAAAGUGUGGGGAGCAAACAGGAUUAGAUACCCUGGUAGU
rnacentral:rRNA from 1 species